rnacentral:rRNA from 1 species
GAGUUUGAUCCUGGCUCAGAACGAACGCUGGCGGCGUGCCUAACACAUGCAAGUCCAACGUGAAAGGGGAGCAAUCCCCCGGUAGGGUGGCAAACGGGUGAGUAAUACAUGGGUGAUCUACCUUAGGGAUGGGGAUAUCCUUCCGAAAGGAGGGGCAAUACCGAAUAUUGUCCGGAGCCGUGAAGGGUUCCGGGGAAAGGGAGGCCUCUGAUACAAGCUUUCGCCUUAAGAUGAGCCCAUGGCCCAUCAGCUAGUUGGUAGGGUAAAGGCCUACCAAGGCUACGACGGGUCGCUGGUCUGAGAGGACGACCAGCCACACUGGCACUGAGAUACGGGCCAGACUCCUACGGGAGGCAGCAGUGAGGAAUAUUGCGCAAUGGGGGAAACCCUGACGCAGCAACGCCGCGUGUGGGAAGAAGGCCUUCGGGUCGUAAACCACUUUUGCACGGGACGAAAAAGGGAUAUCGAACAAAUAUCCCCGAUGACGGUACCGUGAGAAUAAGCCACGGCUAACUCUGUGCCAGCAGCCGCGGUAAGACAGAGGUGGCAAGCGUUGUUCGGAAUUACUGGGCGUUAAAGAGUCUGUAGGUGGUUUGUCAAGUCUUUGGUGAAAGGCCGUAGCUUAACUAUGGG